UCCGGUUUGUCACCGGCAGUCCCAUUAGAGUGCCCAACUAAAUGUAGCAACUAAUGGCAAGGGUUGCGCUCGUUGCGGGACUUAACCCAACAUCUCACGACACGAGCUGACGACAGCCAUGCAGCACCUUCUCACCGGCUCCCUUGCGGGCACCCCCUCAUCUCUGCGGGGUUCCGGUGGAUUUAACCCAGGUAAGGUUCUGCGCGUUGCGUCGAAUUGAACCACAUGCUCCACCGCUUGUGCGGGCCCCCGUCAAUUCCUUUGAGUUUCAAUCUUGCGAUCGUACUUCCCAGGUGGGAUGACGUUACACAGAC
rnacentral:misc_RNA from 1 species